rnacentral:rRNA from 1 species
GACGAAGGGGGCCAGCGUUGUUCGGAAUUACUGGGCGUAAAGCGCGUGUAGGCGGUUGUCCAAGUUGGAUGUGAAAGCCUUGAGCUUAACUCAAGAAAUGCAUUCAGGACUGGAUGACUAGAGGACCGGAGAGGAUAGUGGAAUUCCCAGUGUAGUGGUGAAAUACGUAGAGAUUGGGAAGAACACCAGUGGCGAAGGCGGCUAUCUGGACGGUUUCUGACGCUAAGACGCGAAAGCGUGGGGAGCAAACAGG